AAUGAACGCUGGCGGCAUGCCUUACACAUGCAAGUCGAACGGUAACAGGUCUUCGGAUGCUGACGAGUGGCGAACGGGUGAGUAGUACAUCGGAACGUGCCUAGUAGUGGGGGAUAACUACUCGAAAGAGUGGCUAAUACCGCAUGAGAUCUACGGAUGAAAGCAGGGGAUCGCAAGACCUUGUGCUACUAGAGCGGCCGAUGGCAGAUUAGGUAGUUGGUGGGAUAAAAGCUUACCAAGCCGACGAUCUGUAGCUGGUCUGAGAGGACGAUCAGCCACACUGGGACUGAGACACGGCCCAGACUCCUACGGGAGGCAGCAGUGGGGAAUUUUGGACAAUGGGCGCAAGCCUGAUCCAGCAAUGCCGCGUGCAGGAUGAAGGCCUUCGGGUUGUAAACUGCUUUUGUACGGAACGAAAAGCCCUGGGUUAAUACCCUGGGGUCAUGACGGUACCGUAAGAAUAAGCACCGGCUAACUACGUGCCAGCCGCCGCCGUAAAAC
rnacentral:rRNA from 1 species